AUGUGAAAACUUGUAAAAUACAAAUUUGAAGUUGAAUGUUGCAAUCUGCACUCACAAACAAUAAUUCAAAGCUUGUGUUCUGAAUUCACAGUGCAGACAAGUAGUCACAAAUUUGUAAAAUGAUAUUCACAUAGAUAAAACUUCAGACACAAACUUAUAUUACACAUUUAACUUUUGUACUUUAAUUCAUUUUCACAGUACAACCACAAAUCGACACUUAAAACUUUUCAAAUCUGGCACUUCAACUUUAACCAUUUCGCACGUAAAUCCUAAAUGAUUUAACUGAUCCCCCAGUGUGAUUUUCUUUGCGGCAGUUAUUAUACAACCCAUAAAAUUUUUAACUCCAUUGCGAUGCAUCAAGCUUGUCACAUGACACUGGGCAGUCACAUGUCGGUUCACCGCUGACUCGUCUCGCUGGAAGCUGGAGGACAGAAUGUAGGAUUGCUACUGGUGAGUACAUUUUAAGUCUUUUUUGAUUGAGAACUCACAAAAUUGUUUGAAAACACACGUAGACCAUGAUAAACGCAUUAAUAAUAUGUUUAUGAUCUGUAUUUAUCAUAAUGUUAUGGGCAUAUUGCACGUGUGAUCUAAUGUUUUAUCAUGUUCACUUUGAUCAAAUGCUAUUGUGUGAGGUAUUGUCUAUAUUCUAAUGCUAAUAUUAGGAAUGUGUUGCAACUGAAAGUAGAAUGAUAUGAAAUUCAUCAGCAAUAUACUUUAAUGUAAAGGCAAAAUGCUCUAAAUACACAUUUUACAAAAUUGAGUUAUGACUGAAAUCGGGACUCUUGGAUUAUUAUCUGUCUUGUGUUAGAUGGGUUUGGCUCAACUAUGCUCAUAUUCCAACAGAGGGUGACAAUUAGCUGAACAAUUAAAAAAGUUUGAAGCCAUUUAGUUUUUUUGUGUUGGCAUGUGGUACUAUGUUUGACAUUUGUAAUGCAGUAAUAGUCUGUAACGUAAGUAGGAGGAGGCAGACGAGGAGUGCGGAUCUAAACGCGGGUCUUUACUGAACAAAGUGAAAACAAAACAGACUGGAACAAAGGAAACAUCCACGAUGGGAAAAAUUAAACCAAAACAUGAAAACGUCCAGGGAACACGAACAGGGUGAACGGGGUGAAACAUCAAAUACCAGACAUCUACAAACAACGAUCUACAAUGACUGGGGAACAAACAGGGUUUAAAUACACAGGGAGCGUGAUGAUCAAACGACAAACAGGUGAGAACAAUGAUUGAGUGCUGGCAGUGAUGAGGGCCGGGAAUUGUGGGAAUUGUAGUUCAUGAGAGGUGACACAAGAAACACUGGGCAGACAACCAGGAAUCGUAACAUAGUCACACUGUUUCCUUCCAUCACCAUUAGAUGCUCAAAUGUGUUACUAGAGUAUCCCAGAUAGCAAAAAAUGUCCGCACGGCUUCUUUUUGCUGCCGACCCUAAGCUGUCGGCUAUAGGUGCGUCCCACUGGCGGGGAUGAAACGUUUGCCGCCGAAUUCGUCACUCCCAUUUCUUGCGAGAUGCCGCCCGCGAAAAACUGGCGGGCCGCCUGCUUCAUUUUCUCUGGCGGUUGCCUCGGGCUAAUCGACCGCUGCCGGCUGGCGGCAAGCCUCUUUGAAAUACAAGGACAGCUUAGACUCUCAAAAUCGACCAGCCAUGUUGGCUAUUAUUAUUUUUUGCUCCAAAGCCAUUAGGGUUUAUAACAUAGUCUUGACUCUUGAUUCCAUGAUAAGGUAAGGUUUAGGAAAUUACAUUUAAAUUACUUUGAAACUCUGAAGUGAUUAUACAGUAAUAUAUGUAAAAUAUAUUGAAUUAUUUUAUGCACUUAAAUUGUUUAGCCUACAUUUCUUUGAUUGAUGCACAUUUGAGACAUGCACCAAUAAACCAAAAAUAAUUCCUUUUGUAAAACUUACUUGGCAAUAAAUAUCUUUCUGAUUCUGAUUAGGUUUUAAAAUAGAUAUUUAAUUCAUGGUAUGAACAAUUUAGCAGAAUAAAUUGAUGAAGUUAGACUUUUCACCAAUGCCUGUAUCAGUGAACAGUGAAAGACAUCUGCAACAUGGCCAAAAUCUUGGGUAUACUUUAUAUAUUUUUUUAUUAAUUUGCAACCAUGGUGAUAUCUAUCAUAAACAUGAAAAUCCCCGUUUUGACGUGAAGGAUAAACUCGAUGAAAAAGCUAAAUUAUCCUCUGGUUUCGCAGUUGCGCAGAAAUUUAGUUUAUGUAUUUACAUUUUUUCCAACCUCGAUUUUUUUUUUUUAGUUAUUUUACCUUUUACAGGUAAGGGAUUCAUUUGAAAUUAUGACCAGUACAAAUGUUUAAGAAAGUGUUAAAGUCCCUGUAAAGGCAAUAAAAAAAAAAUCUAAACACAUUAUAAAUGUUAAAUGUAUUGCUAAAACACAUUACAAAGACUGAACUGUGGAGUACUGAAUAGCCUACGUGCACAAGCGUAGUGACGAACUUCUGCUGUCGCCAGAAGUCAGCAUAUCUUUUUACGGUUUACUUGCGCGUCGCCCAAAAUGUCUGUUUUUACUCGAUGUCUCCAUGAUCUUCCAAAAAUUAGCGUCAGCGAUGUUCAUCGCAUUGUUGAUGCCUGGUCCCCUGAUCCGACAAGCAAGAGGGACAAGGGCUUUAAAUUCUACAUAUCAAGUUAUCUGCACAACUACAAGGGUAAGUAUUUUAAUCUAAUGUGGUGUGCCGGCAGAUAGCGGCUAAGCUAGUUCGCCACGUGUUUAUUUUUAAUGUAUCGUUAGUAUAGAAGCUUGUUUUUUCUUAGUUUUAAAGCAGACUGUUUGUUAAUUUUUGUGAUAAUUGUAAUAUCAAUUAUAUUAACUUGCUCUCCUCUCAGUUUCUAAUAAAGAUCAGGGCACAGGUGAAGUCACUGUCAGGGCAUUGUGUUACAGGUCCAUGAGGAAAACGGAGAAACCUCACAGUUUGAGUGUAUGGUGAAGCUAGAAUUGAUAAGACCGCAGUUAUUGGCUUGUUACUUUAAUAGCCCGAUGGCUAAGGUUAUUCAUGUUUAAUGUAACUCAAAUGAAAACAGUUAUUGUAGGCAGGUAAGUUUCCCUAGCUGGUCCCCUCCGGGUAAAAUUUGUUCUUAUUCAAGUUUUCAACUCAGUCAUUCGUUUAAGAUGCAAUCUUGUGUUAUAAGUAUUAGGCUAUCAUGAUUAUACAGUGAGCAAGCUAUAUAAAUAAGUAUUUAAUAUAAUAAAAGUGUAGAGAAACAACCUAGGGUGUAAGGUAAAGGCUGAAUAUUGUAGAUUUAUUACAAUAUGUUGCAUGUUUGAAUUAAAAUACCUGUGGAUAUGCAACUUCCCACUCAUGAAAGUUUUAUGUUAUUCAAAGGAGCGCACUACAAAGGCCUGACUGGAGAUUUGCCUGAUCUAUCCGUCCUUCAGGUGACAGCGGCUCACCUAUAGAGCAGGUGAAGCAAGUUGGGACAGUGUUGAAGACGUUUGCUCGCACUGGGCAAUCAGGUGCAGAUCAGACCCUAAUGCUGCGACGUCUUGGAGAGUUUGGCGAUGUUGUGCGUAGCAUGGACAACAAAAUGGACGCUAUGCUGCAACAUUUCAGUGCCAAUGUGUCUGUUGGAGAGUUAUCCCUGCCAGGGGAUCUGUUACUCCCCCCUAGACACCCAGGAAAAUUUGGCGUUGCUUGACAACAGUUUGAGGCAGGAUAAAGAGCUCCAGCAACGAUUUCUUCGGUUUUUGGCAAUCAAAUGUGGGAGGGACCUAAAGACAACUGUGCUUCAGAGUAUCUUCUCUAAUCACCUUUCCAUCAAUACAACCUGGACUGGUGUAGGGGAUAAAGCAUGUUUUAGAGACAUGUUCCUGAAGACCAUUGUUCAAAGAGCCAUCUGGAAGAACCUGGCAACCCAGGAUGCCACUGAUGAGGCGAUCCAGGUUAACGUUACGCGUUACCUGAAAGGAGCAUCUGAACGUGAAGGUGGAAAAAGGCGCCGCACAGCUUAGAGGGACCCACAGCCGACCCCUUAAACCUAGGCUGACUACUGACACCCCAGCAUCACUGACAACUGGAACCCUUUCUUUAUCUGGCAGUCAGUAACAUCAAGACCCCUAAAAAAGCCUGCUAAAAGUGUCAGACUACACUCACCCAAACCACACUGUUCACUGUGGAAAUUGCUCUUUUUUUUUUUCUUUUCUCUCGUGACCCUGCCUUGAGGGCAGCUCCUUGGAUGAAUAUGGGAUGGUUUGUCCUUUUAUACCUGUUAUCCUGCACAUUCUUUGAUACCAAAGAUCCCAAUUGUUUAAUAUACAAUUUGCUGCUUAUUUCAUUGUUACAGUGCUUAACUAUUCUAUUUUUAAAUAUAGCUUGUACAUCCUGGAUUAUACAUCUAAUACUUUAUCUGCACAUUAUCUGGUAUAAAAUAUUCUACUUACCGUGACUUUAGUAUUGGCUUAUUUCAUUCCGUCAGUGCUUAAUGAUUCUAUUAUAGUUUGUAAAUCCUAUUUCAUACCUCUGAUACUUGAUAUUGCACAUUAACUAGUACCAAAAAUUCUACUUUCAUUCCGUCACAAUGCUGAACUGUUCUAUUGUUAAAUAUAGCUUGUAAAUCCUUGUGCCACAGGUCAGCAUUGCAGUUAUUAUGGUAUAUUCUACUCCAGAGCUUUACUCUAAAUUAUUACCACUUAUCCUAUUGUUAGAAAUGACUUGUAAAUAUGAUGUUAUACCUCAAUUUAUUUGGUAUCCUGCACUUUAUUUGGUACCAAAUAUCCUCAUUGCUUAUGUUUACUGGUAAUUCUUUUCAUCCCAGAGCUGACCUCUUUAUAUUAUUAACAAUUAUUAUAAGUGUGACAAUAGUGUUUUUUUUAAUUUUUUUACCAAAAUUGAAUUGGAAACCUGCAUGUUCUUUAGUGUGUGUGUGUAUAUAUAUAAUGUUUGUAUUUUUCUGUUAUUUAUAUUUCAGUGAUCUGACAUCUUGUUUCAAUGACAGUUACUGUACUUUGAAAUGUGGAAUUAAAAU